UGAAUGUGUGUGUCAGUGAGCUUGUGUGUAGUGAGCUGUGUGUAGCGAGCUUGCAUGUGUGUAUAAGUGAUCGGUCUAUAAUGAACUUUGUGAUCUUAUGUGUAUGUCAGUGAGCUUGUGUUUGUCUGAGCUUUCUGCAGUGAGCUGUGUGAUCUUGUGCGUGUGUGUGUGUGUAUGUCAGUGAGUUUGUGUCAGUAUGGUUUUUCUGUAGUGAGCUUGUGUAUGUGUCAUUUAGCCGUCUAUAGUGAGCUGUGUGAUCUUGUGCAUGUGUGUGUGUGUAUGUCAGUGAGUUUGUGUCAGUGUAGUUUUUCUGUAGUGAG